GCAGCCGCCGCGGUAAUACGGAGGGUGCAAGCGUUAAUCGGAAUGACUGGGCGUAAAGGGCGCGUAGGCGGCGAUCAAAGUCAGGCGUGAAAUUCCUGGGCUCAACCUGGGGGCUGCGUUUGAUACUUGGUUGCUAGAGUGAGGAAGAGGGUCGUGGAAUUCCCAGUGUAGAGGUGAAAUUCGUAGAUAUUGGGAAGAACACCGGUGGCGAAGGCGGCGACCUGGUCCUUGACUGACGCUGAGGCGCGAAAGCGUGGGGAGCAAACAGGAUUAGAUACCCCUGUAGUCCCUGUCUCUUAUAC
rnacentral:rRNA from 1 species